rnacentral:rRNA from 1 species
AGCGAACGCUGGCGGCAGGCUUAACACAUGCAAGUCGAACGCCCCCUUCGGGGGGAGUGGCAGACGGGUGAGUAACGCGUGGGAACGUGCCCUUCAGUUCGGAAUAACCCAGGGAAACUUGGGCUAAUACCGGAUACGUGCGAGAGCAGAAAGAUUUAUCGCUGAAGGAUCGGCCCGCGUCUGAUUAGCUGGUUGGUGAGGUAACGGCUCACCAAGGCGACGAUCAGUAGCUGGUCUGAGAGGAUGAUCAGCCACAUUGGGACUGAGACACGGCCCAAACUCCUACGGGAGGCAGCAGUGGGGAAUAUUGGACAAUGGGCGCAAGCCUGAUCCAGCCAUGCCGCGUGAGUGAUGAAGGCCUUAGGGUUGUAAAGCUCUUUCGGCGGGGACGAUAAUGACGGUACCCGCAGAAGAAGCCCCGGCUAACUUCGUGCCAGCAGCCGCGGUAUGAC